AUAACAUUCCUUCUUGAUCUCGUAAGGCGUCACAUGACCCACCAGGAUGACGCUUAGAUCUGGAUUAUGUAAACUGUCAAUAACACAUCAUUUGAUGUACAGCCCUCUGUCUCAAAAUAACUUAAAUAACUGUGCCUUGAUUUCUAACCGGUGGAACAGUUCUCAGAGCUUUCUGAGAUGCUCUUCCCUGGUUAUAAUCCUCAAAUUUGGCCCAAAUAAAAUUUUCCAUUUCUUUCUUAGGUCCACUGAUUAAUUUUUCCAUCGACACUUCUUUGAAAUUGGCUAUGACCACAUGACUUUCUUCCGUCACUGAAAUUUCCCCCACCAGGGCUGGAACCCGUGCCCCCUGCAGUGGAAGCGUGGAGUCUUAACCUCCGGACCACCAGGGAAGUCCCAGCAUCUUCCCAGUUCUUAGGGAAUGUCAAACUGUGGCAGAGAGACACGAGGAGUUUCUGUUGGGCCCUUGAAAUGAGACUUCUGUUUCACCAUUACCUCCGCGGUCCACCAUCUCUGCAUGCUGGAAAUGUUACGGUAGCCUUCUCACUGGUCUCUUUGUCUCCAUCCCUGCCCUUACAGCCCUAUCUCCACAUAGCAGCCAGAUAUGUCCACACAGCAAAUCAGAUCAUAUCACUCCCCUAAUUAAAGCCCUCUGAUGGCUUCCCAUCGGUCUUAGAAUAAAACCCAAAGUCCUCAUCAUGGUCGACAAGGCAUUUCAUGGUCCCACCCUGCUAACUUCUCCACCUGUAUCUGUCUCCAUGUGCUCCAGUCACACUGGUCUCAUUUCACUCUCAUGUAUAACUAGACUACCCCCCGCCCCGCCACAGGACCUUUGCACGUGGGAUCUCAAGUCAGGUGAGGAUGUGCUAUUGGCCUACUUCAUGCCAAAGUCAUCAAAGAAUUUGCAGAUGCAGACACUAAUCUAUUUAGUUUGUUAUCCAGUUAUUUAUG